UUCCUCAGCUAUAUCCUCGGAUGUUCUUUCUUUGCUGUUAUUUCCUUGUUAUUUCCUUGGCUAUUUCCCUGGCUAUCUCCUUAGAUGUUCUUUCCUUGCUGUUAUUUCCUCACCUGUUAUUUUCCUUGCUGUUAUUUCCUCAGCUAUUAUUUCCUUGCUGUUAUUUCCUUGGCCAUUAAUUCCUCAGCCAUUAUUUCCUCGGAUGUUCUUUCCUUGCUGUUAUUUCCUUCUUACUUCCCUGGCUAUUUCCCUGGCUAUUUCCUCAGCUAUUUCCUCAACUGUUCUUUCCUUGCUGUUAUUUCCUCACCUGUUAUUUUCCUUGCCGUUAUUUCCUCGGCUAUUAUUUCCUUGGCCAUUAUUUCCUUGGCCAUUAAUUCCUCGGCCAUUAUUUCCUCGGAUGUUCUUUCCUUGCUGUUAUUUCCUCACCUGUUAUUUUCCUUGCCGUUAUUUCCUCGGCACGUGUGCGUGCAUGUGUGCACGACCAUCCAUUAAUUCCUCGGCCAUUAUUUCCUCGGAUGUUCUUUCCUUACUGUUAUUUCCUUGUUAUUUCCCCGGCUAUUUCCCUGGCUAUUUUCUCAGCUAUUAUUUCCUUGCUGUUAUUUCCUUGGCCGUUAUUUCCUUGCCUAUUUCUUCGGAUGUUCUUUCCUUGCUGUUAUUUCCUUGUUAUUUCUCUGGCUAUUUCUUCGGAUGUUCUUUCCUUGCCGUUAUUUCCUCGCCUGUUAUUUCCUUGGCUAUUAUUUCCUUGCUGUUAUUUCCUUGGCCAUUAUUUCCUUGGCCAUUAUUUCCUCAGAUGUUCUUUCCUUGCUGUUAUUUCCUUGUUAUUUCCCUGAGUAUUUCCUCAGAUGUUCUUUCCUUGCCAUUAUUUCCUCAGAUGUUCUUUCCUUGCCGUUAUUUCCUCAGAUGUUCUUUCCUUGCCGUUAUUUCCUCAGAUGUUCUUUCCUUGCCGUUAUUUCCUCAGCUUUUAUUUCCUUGCUGUUAUUUCCUUGACCCCUGGGGGGUCCCAACACGCGUG
rnacentral:lncRNA from 1 species